ACGGGGUGCAGCAGGCGCGAAAACUUUACAAUGCUGGAAACAGCGAUAAGGGGACCUCGAGUGCCAGGUUACAAAUCUGGCUGUCGUGAUGCCUAAAAAGCAUUGCAUAGCAAGGGCCUGGCAAGACCGGUGCCAGCCGCCGCGGUAACACCGGCGGCUCGAGUGGUAACCGUUAUUGUUGGAUCUAAAGGGUCUGUAGCGGGCCGGGUAAGUCUCUUGGGAAAUCUGGCAGCUUAACUGUCAGGCUUUCAGGAGAUACUGUCUGGCUCGAGGCCGGGAGAGGUGAGAGGUACUUCAGGGGUAGGGGUGAAAUCUUGUAUUCCUUGAAGGACCACCAGUGGCGAAGGCGUCUCACCAGAACGGACCUGACGGCAAGGGACGGAAGCUAGGGGCACGAACCGGAUUAGAUACCCGGGUAGUCCUAGCCGUAAACGAUACUCGCUAGGUGUCGGCAACGGUGCGACCGUUGUCGGUGCCGUAGGGAAGCCGUGAAGCGAGCCACCUGGGAAGUACGGCUGCAAGGCUGAAACUUAAAGGAAUUGGCGGGGGAGCAC
rnacentral:rRNA from 1 species